rnacentral:rRNA from 1 species
UGACGAGUGGCGGACGGGUGAGUAAUGUCUGGGAAACUGCCUGAUGGAGGGGGAUAACUACUGGAAACGGUGGCUAAUACCGCAUAACGUCGCAAGACCAAAGAGGGGGACCUUCGGGCCUCUUGCCAUCAGAUGUGCCCAGAUGGGAUUAGCUUGUUGGUGAGGUAACGGCUCACCAAGGCGACGAUCCCUAGCUGGUCUGAGAGGAUGACCAGCCACACUGGAACUGAGACACGGUCCAGACUCCUACGGGAGGCAGCAGUGGGGAAUAUUGCACAAUGGGCGCAAGCCUGAUGCAGCCAUGCCGCGUGUAUGAAGAAGGCCUUCGGGUUGUAAAGUACUUUCAGCGGGGAGGAAGGUGUUGUGGUUAAUAACCACAGCAAUUGACGUUACCCGCAGAAGAAGCACCGGCUAACUCCGUGCCAGCAGCCGCGGUAAUACGGAGGGUGCAAGCGUUAAUCGGAAUUACUGGGCGUAAAGCGCACGCAGGCGGUCUGUCAAGUCGGAUGUGAAAUCCCCGGGCUCAACCUGGGAACUGCAUUCGAAACUGGCAGGCUUGAGUCUUGUAGAGGGGGGUAGAAUUCCAGGUGUAGCGGUGAAAUGCGUAGAGA